rnacentral:misc_RNA from 1 species
GGCCUAGUAAAUCUCAACUUUUUUGUUCUUCAGUUUUCAAUAUGAGUUCUUGAUAAGUGAAUGUCUGUUACUGGAGUGUUCAUAAUACUGUAGAAUAUGUAGUUACAAACUUUCUGAAUUUCAAUUGCAUCUUAUACCUUAAGAGUUAAGGCCGACAAGGGAACACAUUUAUGCUUAUGGUCAGAAGAACUCGUGAAUUUAAGAAAUACAUUUGCAUCUCAAAUAUGUUUUGAAUAAUCAGUCAAGGUGCUAUCUUGCUAGUUUAUCUGAUGUUAGGUCUUGACAAUUAGAUGAAAGUUCUUGGCUGAUAGCCUCCAUUGCUUUGUUGGUUUUAAUUAGUUAGUUCUACCCUGUUCCCAACAUAUGACACUUAAAGGUGCCAAUC